rnacentral:rRNA from 1 species
CGCGGCCUAUCAGCUUGUUGGUGAGGUAAUAGCUCACCAAGGCGAUGACGGGUAGCCGGCCUGAGAGGGUGACCGGCCACACUGGGACUGAGACACGGCCCAGACUCCUACGGGAGGCAGCAGUGGGGAAUAUUGGACAAUGGGCGAAAGCCUGAUCCAGCAACGCCGCGUGAGGGAUGACGGCCUUCGGGUUGUAAACCUCUUUUAGUAGGGAAGAAGCGAAAGUGACGGUACCUGCAGAAAAAGCACCGGCUAACUACGUGCCAGCAGCCGCGGUAAUACGUAGGGUGCAAGCGUUGUCCGGAAUUAUUGGGCGUAAAGAGCUCGUAGGCGGUUUGUCGCGUCUGCUGUGAAAACCCGAGGCCCAACCUCGGGCCUGCAGUGGGUACGGGCAGACUAGAGUGCGGUAGGGGAGAUUGGAAUUCCUGGUGUAGCGGUGGAAUGCGCAGAUAUCAGGAGGAACACCGAUGGCGAAGGCAGAUCUCUGGGCCGUAACUGACGCUGAGGAGCGAAAGCAUGGGGAGCGAACAGGAUUAGAUACCCUGGUAGUCCAUGCCGUAAACGUUGGGAACUAGAUGUGGGGACCAUUCCACGGUCUCCGUGUCGCAGCUAACGCAUUAAGUUCCCCGCCUGGGGAGUACGG